GGUUGUGUGAUUACUAGUACCCCAACGUAUUUGGGAGGGUCAAACUGAGUGACAAAGUGAGGAUUUGUAAAUCAACGAAGCCAGGGGAGAUAUACACUGUCGAGGAUAUUGAUGUGGGACGUAAAACAUGGAAUAGUUUUGGAAUGACUCAGAGACACAUUGUGUGGGGCAUGUUGAAAGAUGAAGACCGGAAGGUACUGGAGCAAAUGUACAGCUUAGAAUGAGAUGGGUUAAUAGUAUGGGAUGGUGGUGAGAAUGGGAUACAAGUUCACUUCACUGACAUCAAAGAUUUGGUACAGGAGAACUCGAUUCAUGGCAAUGUA